UACGAGAGGUGCAAGUGUUGUUCCUAAUGACUGGGCGUUAAGGGUAUGCAUAUUGAAAUAUUAGUUUUAAAAAAAAAAUAUUUUAUAAAAUACUGUUUUUCUAUGAAUAAUAUUUGAAAUACUAGAACUGCUAGUUCAAGGUUUAAAUCUUUAGAUAAACAGGAAUGCCAAUGGCAAAAGCAUGUAUUUAUUUAUUAUUGACAUUUAGGUACUAAAGCGUGGGGAGCAAAUGGG
rnacentral:rRNA from 1 species